rnacentral:rRNA from 1 species
GGAAUAUUGGACAAUGGGCGCAAGCCUGAUCCAGCCAUGCCGCGUGCAGGAUGACGGUCCUAUGGAUUGUAAACUGCUUUUAUACAGGAAGAAACACUUGCUCGUGAGCAAACUUGACGGUACUGUAAGAAUAAGGAUCGGCUAACUCCGUGCCAGCAGCCGCGGUAAUACGGAGGAUCCAAGCGUUAUCCGGAAUCAUUGGGUUUAAAGGGUCCGUAGGCGGUUUAGUAAGUCAGUGGUGAAAGCCCAUCGCUCAACGGUGGAACGGCCAUUGAUACUGCUAAACUUGAAUUAUUAGGAAGUAACUAGAAUAUGUAGUGUAGCGGUGAAAUGCUUAGAGAUUACAUGGAAUACCAAUUGCGAAGGCAGGUUACUACUAAUGGAUUGACGCUGAUGGACGAAAGCGUGGGUAGCGAACAGGAUUAGAUACCCUGG